GACGAACGCUGGCGGCGUGCUUAACACAUGCAAGUCGAACGGAAAGGCCCUGCUUGCAGGGUACUCGAGUGGCGAACGGGUGAGUAACACGUGGGUGAUCUGCCCUGCACUUCGGGAUAAGCUUGGGAAACUGGGUCUAAUACCGGAUAGGAGCCAUCUUUAGUGUGGUGGUUGGAAAGUUUUUUCGGUGUAGGAUGAGCUCGCGGCCUAUCAGCUUGUUGGUGGGGUAAUGGCCUACCAAGGCGGCGACGGGUAGCCGGCCUGAGAGGGUGUACGGCCACAUUGGGACUGAGAUACGGCCCAGACUCCUACGGGAGGCAGCAGUGGGGAAUAUUGCACAAUGGGCGCAAGCCUGAUGCAGCGACGCCGCGUGGGGGAUGAAGGCCUUCGGGUUGUAAACUCCUUUCGCUAGGGACGUAGCUUUUUUGUGACGGUACCUAGAUAAGAAGCACCGGCUAACUACGUG
rnacentral:rRNA from 1 species